GACAGAGGGUGCAAACGUUGCUCGGAAUCACUGGGCGUAAAGGGCGCGUAGGCGGGAAUGUAAGUCAGGCGUGAAAUCCCUAGGCUCAACCUAGGAACUGCACUCGAAACUGCGUUUCUUGAGUAUCGGAGAGGAAAGCGGAAUUCCUGGUGUAGAGGUGAAAUUCGUAGAUAUCAGGAGGAACACCAGUGGCGAAGGCGGCUUGCCAGGAA
rnacentral:rRNA from 1 species